UACGGAGGGAGCUAGCGUUUGUUCGGAAUUACUGGGCGUAAAAGCGCACGUAGGCGGCGAUUCAAGUCAGAGGUGAAAGCCCGGGGCUCAACCCCGGAACUGCCUUUGAAACUAGAUUGCUAGAAUCCUGGAGAGGUGAGUGGAAGUUCCGAGUGUAGAGGUGAAAAUUCGUAGAUAUUCGGAAGAACACCAGUGGCGAAGGCGACUCACUGGACAGGUAUUGACGCUGAGGUGCGAAAAGCGUGGGGAGCAAACAGGG
rnacentral:rRNA from 1 species